CACGAUGAAGUAACAGUGAAGCUCAGAAUGAUAAAAAGGGUGGAUUUUGGAAAAGAGUGAUGGAAUGCAAAGACUCUGAGACAUGCUAGAGGAGGGAAAUCUUAACGGGGAACACAGGCAUGAGAGUAAACAGUGCUUUGACUCAACAACAAGGUAAUCCUCAGGAUAAUUUCCAGCUUUAAUCUUCUAUAGCUCUUGGUAAAAGUCCAACAUUCCUGCAUGAAAUCACAUCUCUCCCCACAGAGACAUUUCACCACUGUGCAGGGAGAGGCCGGGCAAACCGUACCGCUCACACAUGGCUGUCUUGGUUCAACCCUGCAGGAAGACAUGCUGCC